AGGUCGGUGAUAAGAGCACUGGCUUAGUGUGUGACUGAGGUCAGUACCUUGUCAAGGGUGUGCGCGUGAGUUGUGCGUGUGUGUUGGGAGGAUGUCAGAAGACCUGUACCACCCAGGUGGACAGGGACCUGUAUCUAUGUUCAGUGAUCUUAAGGUUUCCUGCCACCGAGAUUUUGAUGUCAUUAAGGGGGUACCACUGAGCAAGCAGGCUGCCCAAUGAGGAAUCCGGAAAGGCAAGCAAAGCUUGGUGGGGGUGUACUGUGGCCAGGGCAGGCUUUGGGCGGACUCUUUCUUGUCUGCACGGUUUUGGGGUCCACAUGGGUCCCAGGACUCCUCCGUGGGCCUCUGUCGGCUCACGGGCCUCGGCGAGCUCCCGCUUCCGCAGGGCCUUCUCCGACAGGACCCGCACACUGCAGUCCGGGCUCAGCUCCCUUAACCCCACCAGCACACGGACCUCUGGGGCCGUGGAGAAGCCGGCCGCGGAGGGCGGCGCGCGCCAUGCAGGUCCCGCAGCUCCCCGCCUCGGCCUCGCGCCUGCCGCCCCCGCGGCACGGCCAGCCGCAGCCCCAGUGAGGAGGAAGAGGCGGAGGAGGAGGCGCCGCCCCCUUGGCGAGCUCGGCGCCCGGGCGGCCUUGGCAGGACCCAUGGCGGAUCUCUCGCCUGCGCCGGCCCUGCGGGAAGGCGGCCCCCGUGCGCACCGGCCCUCGGCGCCCUCCCCUCCGCCGCGCUCUCGCUCCACCUCGGAGCCCGAGGAGGCCGAGCUGUCGCUGAGCCUGGCCCGCACCAAGACCCGCUCGUACGGCAGCACGGCCAGCGUGCGGGCGCCUCUGGGCGCCGGCGUCAUCGAGCGCCAUGUGGAGCACCGGGUCCGCGCCGGGGACACGCUUCAGGGCAUCGCGCUCAAGUACGGAGUCACGAAGUGAAAUUACACCCCUGUGCUCACUGGCGACCCUGAACGUGACACCUGUCUAAACAGCAGCCUGGAACUGUGGUCUAGAUGGAACAGAUCAAAAGGGCCAACAAACUGUUUACCAAUGACUGUAUAUUUCUGAAGAAGACGCUGAGCAUCCCAAUCCUGUCGGAGAAGCCUUUGCUGUUUAAUGGACUUAACUCCAUUGAUUCUCCGGAAAGUGAAACUGUCGACAGCAGCUUUUGUCAGGAAGAGGAGCCUGUAGUGUCUGAGGAAGAACUGCCCCCUCCCAGUCCUCAGGACCCGGACCCCAAGCCUGCGCAACCCGAGGAAGUGUCUGCCAGAGAUUUCCUGCAAAGACUGGACUUACAGAUUAAACUCUCAACACAGGCAGCCAGGAAACUCAAAGAAGAGAGCAGGGAUGAAGAGAGUCCCUAUGCUGCCUCUCUUUAUCAUAGUUAGUGACUGGCCAGCGGACUGAUCCAGAUCACAGAAUGGCUGGACCCUAAAGAACCCGCCGGCUCUGGUUCAGGGGCAGCGCUGCCCCUGGACUCCCGUAGCGCACCUUCGAGCUGCAGUUAAGUAGCCCUACUGCAGCUUGCCUGAAGUGAUCAGCUCCCGGCUUUCUAUAGUUAAGUCUUAUUACGGCAUGAUAGCAAAACUGUAUUUAUUCUAACGCCUUUCACUUUUGUAGAUGGUGGUAGUUUUAGACCGGCUUUUGUAGAUACAGAAAGCAUCAGAGACUCUAUAUAUUUAAGCCAAAAGCUAUGUUUAUUUCCUGAUGAGAUCCUAAAUGUGUGGAAGACAUGAUGACUGUGGAGUGAUAAUGCAUUUGCUGUGUGUUUAUAACUCAAGUGCUAUAGUAUAUAUUUCAAUAUCACAUAUUCUGUACUAAUGUAAAGAACCAAAUUUUGUCUGCUAUUUUGUAAAAGUAAACUACAGAUGUCUGGAUGAGAAAAUAAACUAUGUUUUCACACAGGA